AGCAGCCGCAGUAAUUCCAGCUCCAAUAGCGUAUAUUAAAGUUGCUGCAGUUAAAAGCUCGUAGUUGAAUUUCGGGGUCUGUCCGUCGGUCGGGCUUCACGGUCCGUACUGGUGUGAUGGGUUCCUACCUUCUGAAUAACCGGCAUGCCAUUCAGUUGGUGCGCCGGGGAAGCAGAGCUAUUACCUUGAAAAAUUAGAGUGCUUAAAGCAGGCUAGUGCUUGAAUAGAUUAGCAUGGAAUAAUAAAAUAGGACGGCAUGGUUCUAUUUUGUUGGUUUCUAGGAUCACCGUAAUGAUUAAUAGGGAUAGUUGGGGGCAUUAGUAUUCAAUUGUCAGAGGUGAAAUUCUUGGAUUUAUUGAAGACUAACUUCUGCGAAAGCAUUUGCCAAGGAUGUUUUCAUUAAUCAAGAACGAAAGUUAGGGGAUCGAAGACGAUCAGAUACCGUCGUAGUCUUAACCAUAAACUAUGCCGACUAGGGAUCGGACGAUGUUAAUUUUUAUUAGCUACGUUC
rnacentral:rRNA from 1 species